rnacentral:rRNA from 1 species
CACGUAGGGGCCAAGCGUUGUCCGGAUUUAUUGGGCGUAAAGAGCUCGUAGGCGGUUCGACAAGUCGGGUGUGAAAACUCCGGGCUCAACCCGGAGACGCCACCCGAUACUGUCGUGACUGGAGUCCGGUAGGGGAGUGGGGAAUUCCUGGUGUAGCGGUGAAAUGCGCAGAUAUCAGGAGGAACACCAGCGGCGAAGGCGGCGCUCUGGGCCGGAACUGACGCUGAGGAGCGAAAGCGUGGGUAGCAAACAGG